CAGAGGCAUCCUUGCAGGAGAGAGGGCAAGAGCAUUCCAACUACAGGUUGAAGUUUUCCACCUCAAGCAAAGACUGCAGUCUAUGGAGAACCGAGCACGACUCCAAGGAAGCCAUUCAAUGUAUAGUGUUGGACCAAAACCGACUAGUUACAGCCAUCUUAUAUGGUAAGAGGAACAGUCCGAAUAAACAACUGCUCAACUGGGCCCGAUUUGAGCCCUUGUCGGAUAGAACUAAGUAAUGGAGCUUAUGUAAAAAAUGCUUAUGAGAAUAACUUUUCCAUUACUUCAAAGAAGUGUUGCAAUCUUGACUGUAUUUGUCAAAUUUAUGUAAUGCAAUCAUAAUUCAGAUUCUAAGUCAUGCUCUUCUUCUUGGA